GAUGAACGCUAGCUACAGGCUUAACACAUGCAAGUCGAGGGGAAACGACAUCGAAAGCUUGCUUUUGAUGGGCGUCGACCGGCGCACGGGUGAGUAACGCGUAUCCAACCUGCCCACCACUUGGGGAUAACCUUGCGAAAGUAAGACUAAUACCCAAUGAUAUCUCUAGAAGACAUCUGAACGGGAUUAAAGAUUUAUCGGUGAUGGAUGGGGAUGCGUCUGAUUAGCUUGUUGGCGGGGUAACGGCCCACCAAGGCGACGAUCAGUAGGGGUACUGAGAGGAAGGUCCCCAACAUUGGAACUGAGACACGGUCCAAACUCCUACGGGAGGCAGCAGUGAGGAAUAUUGGUCAAUGGGCGAGAGCCUGAACCAGCCAAGUAGCGUGCAGGAUGACGGCCCUAUGGGUUGUAAACUGCUUUUAUAAGGGAAUAAAGUGGGAGUCGUGACUCUUUUUGCAUGUACCUUAUGAAUAAGGACCAGCUAAUUCCGUGCCAGCAGCCGCCGUAA
rnacentral:rRNA from 1 species